UACGUAGGGGCAGCAGUCGUCGAAUCCGAAUUGUGGCGUAAAGAGCUCGUAGGCGGUUUGUCGCGUCUGCCGUGAAAGUCCGGGGCUCAACUCCGGAUCUGCGGUGGGUACGGGCAGACUAGAGUGAUGUAGGGGAGACUGGAAUUCCUGGUGUAGCGGUGAAAUGCGCAGAUAUCAGGAGGAACACCGAUGGCGAAGGCAGGUCUCUGGGCAUUAACUGACGCUGAGGAGCGAAAGCAUGGGGAGCGAACAGG
rnacentral:rRNA from 1 species